rnacentral:rRNA from 1 species
UACGAAGGGGGCUAGCGUUGCUCGGAAUCACUGGGCGUAAAGCGCACGUAGGCGGAUCGUUAAGUCAGGGGUGAAAUCCUGGAGCUCAACUCCAGAACUGCCUUUGAUACUGGCGAUCUUGAGUUCGGGAGAGGUGAGUGGAACUGCGAGUGUAGAGGUGAAAUUCGUAGAUAUUCGCAAGAACACCGGUGGCGAAGGCGGCCAUCUGGACCGCAACUGACGCUGAGGCGCGAAAGCGUGGGGAGCGAACAGG